ACAUGCCUACAACAUAACGUUAAUGCACCAGAUCCCAUUAGAACUACACAAUUAAACGUGCUCAGGCUAGAGUAGUACUGGGAUGGGUGACCGCUCGGGAAGUCUUAGUGUUUUACAUGCA
rfam:Picea glauca, whole genome shotgun sequence.